CCAUGGAUCAGUCCGACCAGGCCUCCAAUAGUGUGAGCUGCUCUUUUGAUUGUCCCUCCAUAUCCUCUGCCCUUCAUGCUACUAAAAACAGCGGUCCAGCUGACAUGAGGUGAGAUCUAAUAUCAGAGAGAUUUGAGGGUGGUGAGUCUCCCGCUCCAUGUGGCAGAGGGGCCCAUGCGUCAGGGCUCUGGAGGAGACUUCCAGAGCUGAAAACAUCCUCAGAUUCAGAGUCAGCAAGAAAGUGAAGACUUCCAUCCUGCUAAUGUAAAGAGCUUAAUUCUGUCAACAAUCCUGAGACUCAGAUAACAUGGAGAGCAGAUUCUGAUGUCUAUGAGAGGAACUACGCUAUAUCUCAUAAAAACAGCAGUUUUAUUACUAUGUUCCCAAGUGACCUUACUUCUUCCUCCAAAUCUUCUAAAUGAUUAUUCUGUAAGUGUCAGUUGUUGCCAAGCGUAAGUCUCUCAGAAGCCAAGGGUACACACUGUGACAGGGAAGUUUCCAUCAAAGACUACUUUAAAGAAAGCACUGUUUGGGAAAGAACCAACUUCAUAAAAAUAAACAAGCAAAGCCUACUGGUUGUGCGAAGCAAGUCACCUGGAUAAUAAAGGCAAAACAAAUGAAAAUGCCAAGUUCUGUAAGCUCGUGAAUGCAAAUACUCUAA